rnacentral:tRNA from 1 species
GGUGUAAAUAAGCUAGUAUGUCCCUACGAAGCCGCCAUGGUGAAAUUG